rnacentral:rRNA from 1 species
GAUGAACGCUGGCGGCGUGCCUAAUACAUGCAAGUCGAGCGAACAGAUGAGGAGCUUGCUCCUCUGACGUUAGCGGCGGACGGGUGAGUAACACGUGGAUAACCUACCUAUAAGACUGGGAUAACUUCGGGAAUCCGGAGCUAAUACCGGAUAAUAUAUUGAACCGCAUGGUUCAAUAGUGAAAGACGGUUUUGCUGUCACUUAUAGAUGGAUCCGCGCCGCAUUAGCUAGUUGGUAAGGUAACGGCUUACCAAGGCAACGAUGCGUAGCCGACCUGAGAGGGUGAUCGGCCACACUGGAACUGAGACACGGUCCAGACUCCUACGGGAGGCAGCAGUAGGGAAUCUUCCGCAAUGGGCGAAAGCUUGACGGAGCAACGCCGCGUGAGUGAUGAAGGUCUUCGGAUCGUAAAACUCUGUUAUUAGGGAAGAACAAAUGUGUAAGUAACUAUGCACGUCUUGACGGUACCUAAUCAGAAAGCCACGGCUAACUACGUG